AAUCAAGUUAGUUUAAACUAAAACAUCAGCUUGUGGAUUUGAAAAUAAAAAUACUUUUACUUGAUUA
rnacentral:tRNA from 1 species